CUUGAAAACUGAGGCUGGUAAAACUUGAUUUCUAAAAAAUUUAACUGGGAAAUGAAACCCUAAGACACAAGUCAUUGAGGUAAAAAUAAAAGAUACCACAGUGGGGACAUAGAAUCAAGUCGUAAGAGCCUCUGAGAUAUUACCCUGAUUUAUGGGCAUAAUGACCUGGGGGAAAAAGAGACAUGUGUCCAUGUUUCUUUCUCUUGUUACCUUUCUAAACCACUGCCUUUCAUCUCUGCAGCACUUGGCCUCAUGGGUCCCCAUGAGAAAGGAGGAAGCAUCUUAUUUUAUUAGAGGAAUCACCAGUGAUUUUGCAAAGCCACUCUGAUGUUGACAGCUAGAGUUUAGUAAUGACUCAUCAUCAAUAAGUCCAAAUUUGCUUCUGAGGAUGCCUCAACCAUCCAGACCAAAUUGGGUUCAUUCCAAAGUCCUAGAUUCUUUGUAGUAUCCAUCUGUCUUAGCCAAUCAUUUUCAUGAUUAUAAAGGAGGUGGCUAUUUAUCAUAAAAUAUCUAGAAAAUGCAUGCAUAUUUUAAAAAAUAAAUGAAAACCAGAAAUAACCAUUCAUAUCAACGAUGAAGAUUAUUUUACUUUAUUUUAUCUAUUAUCUUUUUUUCUUUUUACAGUCACACCUGCAGCGUAUGGAAGUUCCCCAGCCAGGGUCAAAUCGGAGCUGCAGCUGCAGGCCUACACCACAGCCACAGCAACACCGGAUCCAAAUUGCAUCCACAACCUACACUGUGGCCACGCCAGGUUCUUAACCCAAUGAGCCAGACCGGGGAUUGAACAGGCAUCCUCACAGAGACAACGUCAGGUCCCUAACCCACUGAGCCACAGCAGGAACUCUUGUUUUAAAAGAUGGUUAGUGCUUGUAGGAAAAGCUCUUGUGUUACCCAGGGGAUGAUUCCAUAGCUCUGCAGUGAUCAGUGGAGAGGCGGCCUCAUCUCAUAGAGAGAAGUACAUGCUAAUUUAACAUAAUUAUUCAAGUGAAGCCUCCUCUCCAAGUUAUCUUCUCUGUUAUCUCCAUUUGGAUACUUGACAUUUGAAUCAGGUAUAAUAGGAAUUCAUUUCUGAAAUAGAAGCAUCUAAACUCAAUUACAGGAUGAGUCAUAGGCAACCAGGCAUCUCCCUCUGGAAAAGGGAGACUUUGCAGAGUUUAGGGAGUGAGGGGGCUUGCCUGGGGGGUGGGGGAGCAAGGCUGAUGAGGACCCUGUUGAAAGCAGCCUGCAGAGAACAACAGUUCCCAUGGCAGGAGCACUUGGCUUAGAAGCAAGCUCAGAUUGAAAACACAGCAGAACUUCCCAUCAGAGCUGAAAAGUACCCCACCUCCCUAAAGAGAGCUUUGUAAGGAGGGGGCGACAGAGUUGGUCAGCAAGAUAUGGUCACCCUUGUGCCAUGGUGUCAAACACUGUGGGUUUUUGGUUUUUGUUUUUUUUUGUCUUUUUGGGGCCGCACCCACGGCAUAUGGAGGUUCCCGGGCUAGGGGUCCAAUUGGAGCUAUAGCUGCCGCCAGCCUAGGCCACAGCCACAGCAACACAGGAUCUGAGCCACAUCUGCAACCUACAACACAGCUCACGGCAAGGCCCGAUCCUUAACCCACUGAGCGAGGCCAGGUAUUUAACCCGAGUCCUCACGGAGGCUAGUCUGGUUCGUUAACUGCUGAGCCACGAUGGGAACUCCCAAACACUGUGGUUUUGAUAUGCAUUUCCCUGACAGUUAGCAAUGUGAAGCAUCUCUUCACGUGCCUGUUGGCCAUCAUUUGCAAAUAUCUUUCUGGUUCCUUUUUGAUUUUUUAAUGUUUACUUCACUAUGCAAAAGCUUUUUUCUUUUUCUUUCUUUUUUGCCCCCCUGCCCCCCGGCACAUAGAGUUCCUGGGCCAGGGAUUUAACCUGAGCCACAGCUGCGACCUACACCACAGCUGCAGCAACACUGGAUCCUUAACCCACUGUGCCAGGCUGGGGAUGGAACCUGUGUCCCAGAGCUCCAGAGAUGCCACCAAUUUUGUUGUGCCACAGCAGGAACUCCUGUGCAAAAACUUUUUAAUUUGCACGUGUCUGGUAUCAUGCAUCUAUCUCUGCAUGUUUGUGUAUAGCUGUGUGUGUGUGUGUGUGCAUGUGUUGUAUGUAUCUGUGUGCAUGUAGGCAUCUGUGUGUGUUCCUAUGUGUACACAUUUGUGUUGGGGGCAGGGGCUCCUAUAGGUCCGAGAUCCCCAGGGCAUAGAUACUGUAAACCAGGGAAAGCUUUAGAGACAUGAGAAACACCUAAAACCACUGGGAAUUCUAGUUGCAUUUCUGAAAGUUCUGCAGAUGUUUCAGCAGCAAGACAGGUGGGGGUGUUGGCCAAGCACCCUACAGUCUCUGUUAGCUGCGCGUACACUUUUGAAACUGCCAGCAUCCCCUUGGCCAUUUUGGCAAAGGCCACCUUUCACUUUCAAGAUGAAAAGCAAAAUCUCCUUGGAAAUCCAGGGUUUGAAUAGCUUGAUCUGUCUUAAUCAUCCCUCCCUAAACCAAGCCUUGUCUUCCUCCCAGCCCCAUAGGAGCCUGUACGUAAAUGAGCAGAGACGUAGAGGGUCUUUGUGAAGCUGAGUGUGUGAGGCGGCAGCGUGAGUUCCUGUUUCAAAAGAAUUGGCAGAAUAUGAAUUGAAAUGUUCUCCCAGAUUUCCAAGUCCAUUCUUCCCCAUCCACGUUAUUUCAGAAUUAUUAAAAUAAUUUUUGUU
ensembl:lncRNA